AACAUCAGCUGCUUUCUCCUGCUGGUUUAAACCUUGUUGGACAGAUGGAACAUUGGCUGUGGAUUAUUCUGGCUGCUCUUUUCUCUGAGUGUAAAGGAGACUCAGUGACGCAGACAGAAAGAGAAGUUGUUGCUGCUGCAGGAGAAACUCGGAUUCUAGGAUGUACCUUUGAAACCAGUGUUUAUUCGAAUGUUUACCUAUUCUGGUAUAAACAAGAAGGAAACAGUUCACCAAAGUACAUGCUGAAACGAUUCUCAUCAACACGAGAUAAUGCUGCAGAUUUCAGCAAAGAUAGAUUUGAUGCUGAACUCAACACUGAUAAGAAAUCAGUCAACCUGACGAUCCAGGAUCUCCGUCCGUCAGACUCUGCUGUGUACUACUGCGCUCUGCAGCCCACAGUGACAGGAAACACCAGAACCCUGUACAAAAACCUGCAGUACUCCACAGCAGCCACUAGAGGGCCUCAUGAACCAGG